AGGACGAACGCUGGCGGCGUGCUUAACACAUGCAAGUCACGGGGGCUGGCGCAAGCCAGUAACCGGCGAACGGGUGCGUAACACGUGAGCGACCUGCCUUAUCGAGGGGGAUAGCCGGCCCAACGGCCGGGUAAUACCGCAUACGCUUGUUUGGGGGCAUCCCUGGACAAGGAAACCUCCGGGGCGAUGAGAGGGGCUCGCGGCCUAUCAGCUAGUUGGCGGGGUAACGGCCCACCAAGGCGAUGACGGGUAGC
rnacentral:rRNA from 1 species